rnacentral:rRNA from 1 species
CCUACGGGAGGCUGCAGUAGGGAAUCUUGCUCAAUGGGGGAAACCCUGAAGCAGCAACGCCGCGUGGAGGAUGAAGGUUUUAGGAUUGUAAACUCCUUUUGUGAGUCAAGAUCAUGACGGUAUCUCACGAAUAAGCACCGGCUCACUCCGUACCAGCAGCCGCGGUGAUACGGAGGGUCCAAGCGGUACUAGGAAUCACUGGGCGGAAAGAGUGCGCAGGCGGGCUUGUAAGUCAGGUGUGAAAUCCUGUAGGUUAACUACAGAACUGCAUUUGAAACUAUGAGUCUAGAGUGUGGGAGAGGAAAGUGGAAUUCUUGGUGUAGGGGUAAAAUCCGUAGAUAUCAAGAGGAAUAC